UGUAACCAAAGAAAAUAAACAAAAUGACAAUAAUACAUAAAUAACAACAGACUACUAGCAGUUAACUAACAUGCCAGCUCCAGACUUCAAUUAAAUUGACUGAAAGAUUAUGAUUUCAUCAUAUGAACAUCAGGCACAAUCCUUCCCGUUAGGGGUUUAGUAUCAUACCAUCAUAACAUAUAUGAGAAGAACAUAACCCGUGUCAUGCCAACAACUGUUUUUUGAAUAAAUGUGUUUAGUUCCGAUGCAAAGACCCUAUAAGUGAAUCAAUAUUAACGCCAAAAUAUGCAAUCUUUAAUGACCUGACA
rnacentral:lncRNA from 1 species